UACGAAGGGGGCUAGCGUUGCUCGGAAUUACUGGGCGUAAAGGGCGCGUAGGCGGUCAGGUCAGUCCCGUGUGAAAUCCCUCGGCUCAACUGAGGAACUGCACGGGAAACUGCCUGGCUUGAGUUCGGGAGAGGGAAGCGGAAUUCCGGGUGUAGCGGUGAAAUGCGUAAAUAUCCGGAGGAACACCGGUGGCGAAGGCGGCUUCCUGGACCGACACUGACGCUGAGGCGCGAAAGCUAGGGGAGCAAACGGG
rnacentral:rRNA from 1 species